rnacentral:rRNA from 1 species
GCGAGACCCACAAGUCGAGCAGGUACGAAAGUAGGUCUUAGUGAUCCGGUGGUUCUGUAUGGAAGGGCCAUCGCUCAACGGAUAAAAGGUACUCUGGGGAUAACAGGCUGAUACCGCCCAAGAGUUCAUAUCGACGGCGGUGUUUGGCACCUCGAUGUCGGCUCAUCUCAUCCUGGGGCUGAAGCAGGUCCCAAGGGUAUGGCUGUUCGCCAUUUAAAGAGGUACGCGAGCUGGGUUUAGAACGUCGUGAGACAGUUCGGUCCCUAUCUACCGUGGGCGCUGGAAAUUUGAGAGGAUCUGCUCCUAGUACGAGAGGACCAGAGUGGACGAACCUCUGGUGUACCGGUUGUGACGCCAGUCGCAUCGCCGGGUAGCUAUGUUCGGAAGGGAUAACCGCUGAAAGCAUCUAAGCGGGAAGCCUACCUCAAGAUAAGAUUUCCCUAGGACUUUAUGUCCUCUAAAGAGCCGUUCGAGACUAGGACGUUGAUAGGUUGGAUGUGGAAGCAUAGUGAUAUGUGAAGCUGACCAAUACUAAUUGCUCGUGAGGCUUGACUAUACAACACCCAAGCAGUUG